rnacentral:rRNA from 1 species
AAAGGAAUUGACGGGGGCCCGCACAAGCGGCGGAGCAUGUUCAUUAAUUCGAUGCAACGCGAAGAACCUUACCUGGGUUUGACAUAUACCGGAAACAUCUGGAGACAGGUGCCCCGCAAGGUCGGUAUACAGGUGGUGCAUGGCUGUCGUCAGCUCGUGUCGUGAGAUGUUGGGUUAAGUCCCGCAACGAGCGCAACCCUCGUCCUAUGUUGCCAGCGGUUCGGCCGGGAACUCAUAGGAGACUGCCGGGGUCAACUCGGAGGAAGGUGGGGAUGAGGUCAAGUCAUCAUGCCCCUUAUGUCCAGGGCUUGAAACAUGCUACAAUGGCUGGUACAAAGGGCUGCGAUACCGCAAGGUGGAGCGAAUCCCAUAAAGCCAGUCUCAGUUCGGAUUGGGGUCUGCAACUCGACCCCAUGAAGUCGGAGUCGCUAGUAAUCGCAGAUCAGCAAUGCUGCGGUGAAUACGUUCCCGGGCCUUGUACACACCGCCCGU